UUUAUGGAGAGUUUGAUCCUGGCUCAGGACGAACGCUGGCGGCGUGCCUAACACAUGCAAGUCGAACGGAGAUUUCAGCAAUGGAAUUUUAGUGGCGAACGGGUGAGUAACGCGUAGACAACCUACCUUCUAGCUGGGGACAACACUGCGAAAGUGGUGCUAAUACCGAAUGUUGUAUUUUGAGUGCAUACUUAAGAUACUAAAGGUGGCCUCUAUUUAUAAGCUAUCACUAGAAGAUGGGUCUGCGUCUGAUUAGCUAGUUGGUGAGGUAACGGCUCACCAAGGCGACGAUCAGUAGCCGGUCUGAGAGGAUGAACGGCCACACUGG
rnacentral:rRNA from 1 species